rnacentral:lncRNA from 10 species
CCAGCCUAGGUGACAGAACGAGACCUUGCCUCAGAAAAAAAAAAAAAAAAAGGGUGGGGGGAGGUAAAUUUAAUUGUAAGUUAUUUCACUAUAAAGCUGUUAAAAAAUAACUAUUAAGUCUAAACAGUAAUCCUGGGAAUGUAUAUUGGGAAACUAUAUUGUACCUCUGCAGAACUGAAAAACAUACAGAGACAGGCAUGCAGCCGGUGUUCAAUAAAUGCUUUCAGAAUGUAGUGGAAACAUUAUGCACCAGUGUUUAUUGAAAGGAAAGUCUCCCUGCUCUCUCAAGUUCAAGUCAGCCCAGGUUUAACAUUAUCCUUGUCUGCCACCUGGUGGCCCAAAUGGGCAAAGUGGGUGUCCUGGUCUUUCGCUCCAAACUUCAAAAAGCUGUAGUUGGGCUUAAAGGCCGUGGAUGGAAAGAAGGGAGACUUUCGCCCUGGAAAUCCGGUGCCCCGAGAGGCAAGUUGGUCAGAGGGGAGCACACAAUGAGAGGCUGCCAUCUAUUAACCAGAGAACAAGUCCUUGCCAGACAGCAAAUCUGCUGACACCUUGAUCCUGGACUUCUAAGCCUCUAUAACUGUAAGCAAUACAUUUCUGUCACAUGAAGGCACCCAGUUUAUAACAUCAAUCUGUAAAAUUUUUUUUUAAGUUUUAUAUCAGUAUAGGAAACUUUUUUUUUUGAGACAGGGUCUUGCUGUAUUGCCCAGGCUGGAGUGUAGUGGCACAAUCACGACUCACUGCAGCUCUGACCUCCCAGGCUCAAGUGAUCUGCCCGCCUCAGCCUACUGAGUAACUGAGACUACAGGUGCGUGCCACCACAUCCAGCCAAUUUUUGAAUUUUUUUUUUGUAGAGAUGGCGUUUCUCCAAGCUGCCUAGGCUAGCGUCAAAGUCCUGGGCUCAAGUUCAGGAGGCCCACCUCGGCAUCCAAAAGUGCGGGGAUUAUGGGCAUGAGCCACCGUGCCUGGCCGAAACCGGUAGUAUUUAUUUAUUUUUUUUUUUGAGACAGACCCUCGCUCUGUCACCCAGACUGGAGUGCAGUAGUGCGAUCUUGGCUCACUGCAACCUCCGCUUCCUGAGUUCAAGUGAUUCUUGUGUCUCAGCCUCCUGAAUAUGUAGGAUUAUAGGUGUGCACCACCAAGCCUAGCUAAUUUUUGUAUUUUUAGUAGAGACAGGGGUUCACCGUGUUGGCUAGGCUGGUCUCAAACUCUGGGCCAGCUACUCAGCUACUCAGGAGGCUAAGGCAGAAGGAAUUCGACGCUGCAUGAGCUAUGAUCCCGCCUUUGCACUCUAGUCUAGGCAACAAAGCAAGACCCAGUCUCCAGAAAAAACAUAGUGUGACUGCUGUGGGGAUCAGGGAGGGAGGAAGUGAUGGAAAAUUGCCUAACAGAGAAAAUCAGUCCUCUUAAUCGAUAAAGAAUUUCUACAAACAAAGAAUAUGUCAUGUAUACAACAGAAAAAGUAGCAUAAGAAUGUGUUCAGAAUAAGCACUACAAAUCAGUGUCUCUCAAAUAAACGAAGAGAUCUUUAAGUCAUUCAUAGUAAGAGAAAUGCACAUUGAAUUCUCACUGUGAUGUCAACCACUCAUUUUGUGGUAUCCCAACAAGCAAGAUAAUCAGACGUUACAUAUUUUCUAUCAGAAGUAUGCAGCACCACAUGUGAAGUGGUCCUCCAAAAAACAAAACAAAAUAAAACCUAAAACCCAAAUCUGAUUAUGCCUCUAGAAUAUAAAUACAAGUUUACACAGUAGACAGGGGAUAGAAGAACUGUUAAAAGACACCACCCGGAUGCAAUCAGCAAAACCUAAAUGGUGGGAUCCUCUCCAGAACAAAUAAACUGGUUUCUUCCACAUGCAACAAAAUUUAGAAAGAAAAUUAAAGAGAGGCAGAUGGUAAAUCUGAAGACUGAAAGAGAUUCAAGAAACACAUAAAAAUGACAGAUAAUAAUAAGUGUUGGUAAGGAUAUGGAAAACUUGGAACUUUCAUACAUUGCCAGGGGAAAGGAAAAUGGUGCAGCUGCUUUGGAAAACAGUCUGGCAGUUUUUCAGGGGAUUAAACAUGGAGUUGCCAUAUGACUCAGCAAUUCCACUCCUAACUAUAAAGCCAAGACAAUUGGUGGGGCAUGGAGGCUCACGCCUGUAAUCCAAGCACUUUAAGAAGUCAAGGUGGGUGGAUCACCUGAGGUCAGGAGUUUGAAACCAGCCUGGCUGACAUGGUGAAACCCUAUCUCUACUAAAAAUACAAAACUUAGCCAGGCGUGGUGGCAUGUGCCUGUAAUUCUAGCUACUUGGGAGCUGAGGCAUGAGGAUCCCUUGAACCCAAGAGGCAGAGGUUGCAGUGAGCCUGGGCAACAGAGUGAGACUCCAUCUCAAAAAAAAAAAAAAAAGAGAAAAAAGAAAUAUCUACUUAUUUGCAAAGUAUGAACGUUAUUUGAAUCCUGAUUUAAAAAAAAACUUGUAUUAAUACAAGUAUCAUUUAUAAAUACUAAAGAACACGACCAUAUAUUUGAUUAAAUUGAGAACAUAUUAUGUUGUGGAAAUACACACAUACAUAUAUAUGUUCCUUUUCUUUAGUAGGACAUGAUGAAAACUUUACAGAUGAUAUGAUGUCUGGGAUUUGUUUCAAAUAAUGAUGCAAGAGAGAGGUGGCCAUCCGGAAAACACCAGGUUAUAUUCAACCUGAGAAAGCUGAUUUAAAACAGAAACAAAAACAAGAUCUUUGUUAUUGCUGAAGACGGACAAUGGGAGCCCACCCUGGGCGGCAGGGAGGCGUUGCGUGGGGCUCACGAGUUCCACGCUGUCAUCUCCACCAGCUCCUACCUCCCAGGCGCCUGCCCUCCCGCACUGUCAGGUUCUGCCUCCGCAG